GAUGAAGAACGUAGCGAAAUGCGAUAAGUAAUGUGAAUUGCAGAAUUCCGUGAAUCAUCGAAUCUUUGAACGCAUAUUGCGCCCUCUGGUAUUCCGGGGGGCAUGCCUGUCCGAGCGUCAUUACAACCUUCAAGCACGGCUUGGCUGUUGAGCGGUCUGUUUUGACGAACAGGGCUCGAAAUGCAGUGGCGACGGCGAGAUUGGUGCCCGAGCGUAUGGGGCUUUGUCACACGCUCUGGUGGCUCCACUCGAAGUCUGCCAUAGACCAAAUCAAUCUGAUUGACCUCGGAUCAGGUAGGAACACCCGCUGAACUUAAGCAUAUCAAUAAGCGGAGGA
rnacentral:misc_RNA from 1 species